UGCAGUCGAGCGGACCGACGGGAGCUUGCUCCCUUAGGUCAGCGGCGGACGGGUGAGUAACACGUGGGUAACCUGCCUGUAAGACUGGGAUAACUCCGGGAAACCGGGGCUAAUACCGGAUGCUUGAUUGAACCGCAUGGUUCAAUCAUAAAAGGUGGCUUUUAGCUACCACUUGCAGAUGGACCCGCGGCGCAUUAGCUAGUUGGUGAGGUAACGGCUCACCAAGGCGACGAUGCGUAGCCGACCUGAGAGGGUGAUCGGCCACACUGGGACUGAGACACGGCCCAGACUCCUACGGGAGGCAGCAGUAGGGAAUCUUCCGCAAUGGACGAAAGUCUGACGGAGCAACGCCGCGUGAGUGAUGAAGGUUUUCGGAUCGUAAAACUCUGUUGUUAGGGAAGAACAAGUACCGUUCGAAUAGGGCGGCACCUUGACGGUACCUAACCAGAAAGCCACGGCUAACUACGUGCCAGCAGCCGCGGUAAUACGUAGGUGGCAAGCGUUGUCCGGAAUUAUUGGGCGUAAAGCGCGCGCAGGCGGUUUCUUAAGUCUGAUGUGAAAGCCCCCGGCUCAACCGGGGAGGGUCAUUGGAAACUGGGGAACUUGAGUGCAGAAGAGGAGAGUGGAAUUCCACGUGUAGCGGUGAAAUGCGUAGAGAUGUGGAGGAACACCAGUGGCGAAGGCGACUCUCUGGUCUGUAACUGACGCUGAGGCGCGAAAGCGUGGGGAGCGAACAGGAUUAGAUACCCUGGUAGUCCACGCCGUAAACGAUGAGUGCUAAGUGUUAGAGGGUUUCCGCCCUUUAGUGCUGCAGCAAACGCAUUAAGCACUCCGCCUGGGGAGUACGGUCGCAAGACUGAAACUCAAAGGAAUUGACGGGGGCCCGCACAAGCGGUGGAGCAUGUGGUUUAAUUCGAAGCAACGCGAAGAACCUUACCAGGUCUUGACAUCCUCUGACAACCCUAGAGAUAGGGCUUCCCCUUCGGGGGCGAA
rnacentral:rRNA from 1 species